rnacentral:snRNA from 1 species
AUCUGUUCUUAUCAGUUUAAUACCUGAUACAUCCUCCAUUCAAGGACUUUAUAUUAAAUGGACUUUUAGAGCCAGGAGCUGGAAGAGGGGCUUGCUCCGUCCACUCCACACAUCGUUCCUGGUAUUGCAUAUCUAAAUGU